GACAGAGGGUGCAAACGUUGUUCGGAAUUACUGGGCGUAAAGCGCACGUAGGCGGCUUUGUAAGUUAGAGGUGAAAGCCCGGGGCUCAACUCCGGAAUUGCCUUUAAGACUGCAUCGCUAGAAUUGUGGAGAGGUAAGUGGAAUUCCGAGUGUAGAGGUGAAAUUCGUAGAUAUUCGGAAGAACACCAGUGGCGAAGGCGACUUACUGGACACAUAUUGACGCUGAGGUGCGAAAGCGUGGGGAGCAAACAGG
rnacentral:rRNA from 1 species